AGAGUUUGAUCAUGGCUCAGAGCGAACGCUGGCGGCAGGCCUAACACAUGCAAGUCGAACGGACUCUUCGGAGUUAGUGGCGGACGGGUGAGUAACACGUGGGAACGUGCCUUUAGGUUCGGAAUAAGCUCGGGAAACUGGGUCUAAUACCGAAUGUGCCCUUCGGGGGAAAGAUUUAUCGCCUUUAGUGCGGCCCGCGUCUGAUUAGCUAGUUGGUGGUGUAAUGGACCACCAAGGCGACGAUCAGUAGCUGGUCUGAGAGGAUGACCAGCCACAUUGGGACUGAGACACGGCCCAAACUCCUACGGGAGGCAGCAGUGGGGAAUCUUGCGCAAUGGGCGAAAGCCUGACGCAGCCAUGCCGCGUGUAUGAUGAAGGUCUUAGGAUUGUAAAAUACUUUCACCGGUGAAGAUAAUGACUGUAGCCGGAGAAGAAGCCCCGGCUAACUUCGUGCCAGCAGCCGCGGUAAUACGAAGGGGGCUAGCGUUGCUCGGAAUUACUGGGCGUAAAGGGAGCGUAGGCGGACAUUUAAGUCAGGGGUGAAAUCCCAGAGCUCAACUCUGGAACUGCCUUUGAUACUGGGUGUCUUGAGUGUGAUAGAGGUAUGUGGAACUCCGAGUGUAGAGGUGAAAUUCGUAGAUAUUCGGAAGAACACCAGUGGCGAAGGCGACAUACUGGAUCAUUACUGACGCUGAGGCUCGAAAGCGUGGGGAGCAAACAGGAUUAGAUACCCUGGUAGUCC
rnacentral:rRNA from 1 species